ensembl:lncRNA
AUGCAGGCAGCCAGCAAGAAAAGAGAAUUUUUCCUCCACCUUCUACAUCUACUCACCCAUCCCCCCCACUUUUUUUUUUUUUUUUUUUUUUUUGGUACUAGAAAUAUUUCAGGCACAAUUAAAAAGGCGUUAUUAGCAUUUAAUUGGUUUGGAGUCCUCACUGUGAUGUUGAGCCCUCGUGCUGAUGUCAUCCCAGUUGUCAUGGUUACAGGUGAACAAGCUGCUGGAAGUGCAAAAUCAGCGCCGGGCUCCAAGGGGAAGGGAGGAUGGAGGGGGGAACCUGGGGAGGAACCUGGUGCUGGAAGUGAGCGAGCAGAAACAGCUGCCAUCGCCAGUACAAGGCCUGCAUCUCGGCUGUGGAGAAACAUUCUGAAGAGGUCCACCAACUUCAAGAGAACUUAUUUUCCUCCCCAGCUGUACAGACCAGUGUCUCAGCUAUCGGGGUUUGAGGACUCUACUGUGAACCUGGCAUGCACUCUCUCAAGCACCCUCUGCUUGAAACAGUCCAACGAGGCUGAUUUGGAGCCCUCUCAGAUAUGUCUGUCGGCUGAGGAAUGUGCUGAACAGGCUGACCAACAGAAGUGCUCAUUUUUUCUGUCAUUCAGAAAUUGUGAAGCUCUGUAGAUGUCUCUAUUUUGAUCUGCCUCUGAAGAGCAACAUCAUCAGAGUACUGGUGCAGAUGGAGCCAUGUCCUACAGCCCUCCUGGUGGGACCAUACUUCACUUCUGCCUUUUGUACACUCUCCAAAGUGAGGUGA